GAUGAAGAACGCAGUGAAAUGCGAUACGUAAUGUGAAUUGCAGAAUUCAGUGAAUCAUCGAGUCUUUGAACGCACAUUGCGCCCCCUGGUAUUCCGGGGGGCAUGCCUGUCCGAGCGUCAUUGCUGCCCUCAAGCUCGGCUUGUGUGUUGGGCCUCCGUCCUCCUCCCGGGGGACGGGCCCGAAAGGCAGCGGCGGCACCGCGUCCGGUCCUCGAGCGUAUGGGGCUUCGUCACCCGCUCUUGUAGGCCCGGCCGGCGCUUGCCGACACAUCAAUCUUUUUUCCAGGUUGACCUCGGAUCAGGUAGGGAUACCCGCUGAACUUAAGCAUAUCAAUAAGCGGAGGA
rnacentral:misc_RNA from 1 species